GGCCCCAUCGUAUAGCGGCCUAGUACGCCGCCCUCUCACGGCGGUAGCACGGGUUCAAAUCCCGUUGGGGUCACAA
rnacentral:tRNA from 1 species